rnacentral:rRNA from 1 species
AGAGUUUGAUUAUGGCUCAGGAUGAACGCUGGCGGCGUGCUUAACACAUGCAAGUCGAACGGAACUUAGAUGAAACCUAGUGAUUUAAGUUAGUGGCGGACGGGUGAGUAACGCGUGGGUAACCUGCCUUAUACCGGGGGACAACAGUUAGAAAUGACUGCUAAUACCGCAUAAGCGCACGGAGUCGCAUGACUUUGUGUGAAAAACUCCGGUGGUAUAAGAUGGACCCGCGUCUGAUUAGCCAGUUGGUGAGGUAACGGCCCACCAAAGCAACGAUCAGUAGCCGGCCUGAGAGGGUGAACGGCCACAUUGGGACUGAGACACGGCCCAAACUCCUACGGGAGGCAGCAGUGGGGAAUAUUGGACAAUGGGGGAAACCCUGAUCCAGCGAACCGCCGCGUGAGUGAAGAAGUAUUUCGGUAUGUAAAGCUCUAUCAGCAAGGAAGAUAAUGACGGUACUUGACUAAGAAGCCCCGGCUAACUACGUGCCAGCAGCUGC